rnacentral:rRNA from 1 species
UGGGGAAUAUUGCACAAUGGGCGCAAGCCUGAUGCAGCCAUGCCGCGUGUAUGAAGAAGGCCUUCGGGUUGUAAAGUACUUUCAGUCGGGAGGAAGGUGGUAAAGUUAAUAACCUUAUCAAUUGACGUUACCGACAGAAGGAGCACCGGCUAACUCCGUGCCAGCAGCCGCGGUAAUACGGAGGGUGCAAGCGUUAAUCGGAAUUACUGGGCGUAAAGCGCACGCAGGCGGUUGAUUGAGUCAGAUGUGAAAUCCCCGGGCUUAACCCGGGAAUUGCAUCUGAUACUGGUCAGCUAGAGUCUUGUAGAGGGGGGUAGAAUUCCAUGUGUAGCGGUGAAAUGCGUAGAGAUGUGGAGGAAUACCGGUGGCGAAGGCGGCCCCCUGGACAAAGACUGACGCUCAGGUGCGAAAGCGUGGGGAGCAAACAGG